rnacentral:rRNA from 1 species
AAUAAGAAUUUAAUUUUGGUUCUGAUUGAACGUUUUUCAGUGGUUUUAAGACAUGCAAAUCUUUUGUUUAUAAAGGUAAAUACAAUUAUUUAUUUUAAUAAAAUAACAUUUAUUACAUAAUAGUUUAUUACUAAUAAAAAAUAAGGUGUAAAGGUGAGUAAUAUGUGAUUAGAUACCUUAUAGUCUCCUUAGUUGGGAGAUAAUUUAUUUCUUUAAUAUUAAAAAUUUAAGAUACUUUAAUUUUAUAUAAUUUAAUUUAUUAUAUAAUUUUAUUAGGAUAAGUAAGGAUAAAUAAGCUAUUUAUUCAAUAAAGGAAGUUUUCUGCUAUAAGAUUUGAUCCAUUCUGUUUAAAGGUAGUUGGUAGAGUAAAAGCCUACCAAGCCAACGAUCAGAAGCCAAGUUUGAUAGAUCAAAUGGCCACAUUGGGAGUGAAAUGCCCCUAGUAGUUUAUACUACCAGCAGUCAAGAAUAUUAGUCAAUGCUCGCAAGAGUGAACUAGCUAACUGAAAUCGUAUUUUUCGUGUAUGCGGUGAAAUGCGAUAAUGUAAAGGAAAAAAUAUGAUAUUACUUUACUAAAAGUGUUGUCCAAAUCUGGUGCCAGAAGACUCGGUAACGCCAGAAACGCGAACGUUAGUCACAUUAACCAGGCGUAAAGGGUUCGUAGGCAGUUUAAAAUUUAAAAUUUUAUAUAGCUAUUUAAAUAUAUAUUUAUAUAUGUUUAUUUUAAAAUUUUAAUUAAUUUAAGAUAGAAUCAAAUUGAGGAUAAGCCGAAUAAUGCUUAGAGUAGGGAUUAAAUCCUUAGAUACUAGGUGGAAUACUAAUGGUGAAAGCUUUUUAUCUAAUAAUGAUCGACGCUGAGGAACGAAGGUGAGAAUAGAAAAUAGGAUUAGAGACCCAGAUAUCUCUCACUGUCAACGAUGAAUGGUGGAAAGUUAGUUUUAAUAACUAGUACCGAUGUUAACGCGAUAACCAUUCCGCCUUGAGAGUACGGUCGCAAGACUGAAACCAAAAAAAUUAGUCGGUCUCGAAGCAAACGAAGUGAAGCAUGUUAUUUAAUACGAGAGUACGCGUAAAAUCUUACCAGUUCUUGCAUAUCCAUAUUUAGUUUAAAUUUAUAUUUAAAGGAUUAAAUAGCCUCCCUCCCUUUCCUUAUUACUAAGUAGUAAUUACAUGGGUAGGUGCUGGAAAUCUAUAUCUUUAAGUGUGAUAUUUAUAUUAAAUAUGUGUAGUUAUUUAUUUUUUUAAUUUAAUAACUCGUUUACAGGUGUUGCAUGGCUGUCGUCAGUCCGUGUUUUGAGAAGUAAGGUUAACUCCACUAACGGACGAAAUCCCUGUUGUAUAUUUAUACUUUAUAACUAAUGAUUUUUAAAUAUUUUCAUUUGGGGCUAAGACAAGUCGUUAUGGCCCUCAUGAACUGGGCUAUUGACGUGCCACAAGAACUUUUACAAAGUGAUGCAAAAACCGGACCUUGUAUUGUUUUAUUAGAUUGCUCUCCUCCUAUAUGUAGGGAGCAUUUAUUUUACUUUUAUUAAAAGAAGUAAAAGCUAAUAAAAUAGAGCUUAAUUUGUCAGCCUUAAUUUUGAACCGAAAGGUAGGAAAAGGUCAACGCUAAUUAAAGCUCCCUUUUUUUAAUAGAAAAGGAUUAUUUAUCUGUAAUUUAUAUUUAGAUAAUUAAGGUCAAAAGGAAUAGCUAAUCAUUAAAGAAAGUUACUAUUAUUAAACUUUUAUAAGACGGAUUGUCUCCUGAAAUUCGGAGACAUGAAGAAGGAAUUUCGAGUAAUCGUUGAUCACUAGCGCAACGGUGAAGAUUGCAUUCGUGAUGAACUAACUGUCUGUCACUGGGAAGGAAUUCGGAUAGGGGGAAAAAGCCAAAUAUUUAUAAUUUUUCAAAGGAGUAUUAAUUAAUAAUAUAAUUAAUUUUAUAUUAAUUUAGUGCAGUUUUAAUUAUAGAUUUAUCUUAUAGAGAUUAUAGGGGAUAAUCUAUUGAUUUAAUUAAUUUAAAUCUUUUAUCCCACCCUCCAUCCUUUAACGGAGGAGGUGGUAACAAAAUAAACAUCUUUGUUAAACUAAUUAUUAUCUUUUAACCCAUUUGAGUAACAUCUCAAAAGUCAUAGCAAGGUAGCUGUACUGGAAGGUGCAGCUGGAAAAUAAAAACAAAUUAAACCC